rnacentral:rRNA from 1 species
UGGAUCAGUGGCGAACGGGUGAGUAACACGUGAGCAAUCUGCCCCUGACUCUGGGAUAAGCGCUGGAAACGGCGUCUAAUACCGGAUACGAGCUGCGAAGGCAUCUUCAGCAGCUGGAAAGAAUUUCGGUCAGGGAUGAGCUCGCGGCCUAUCAGCUUGUUGGUGAGGUAAUGGCUCACCAAGGCGUCGACGGGUAGCCGGCCUGAGAGGGUGACCGGCCACACUGGGACUGAGACACGGCCCAGACUCCUACGGGAGGCAGCAGUGGGGAAUAUUGCACAAUGGGCGAAAGCCUGAUGCAGCAACGCCGCGUGAGGGAUGACGGCCUUCGGGUUGUAAACCUCUUUUAGCAAGGAAGAAGCGAAAGUGACGGUACUUGCAGAAAAAGCGCCGGCUAACUACGUGCCAGCAGCCGCGGUAAUACGUAGGGCGCAAGCGUUAUCCGGAAUUAUUGGGCGUAAAGAGCUCGUAGGCGGUCUGUCGCGUCUGCUGUGAAAACCCGAGGCUCAACCUCGGGCCUGCAGUGGGUACGGGCAGACUAGAGUGCGGUAGGGGAGAUUGGAAUUCCUGGUGUAGCGGUGGAAUGCGCAGAUAUCAGGAGGAACACCGAUGGCGAAGGCAGAUCUCUGGGCCGUAACUGACGCUGAGGAGCGAAAGGGUGGGGAGCAAACAGGCUUAGAUACCCUGGUAGUCCACCCCGUAAACGUUGGGAACUAGUUGUGGGGUCCAUUCCACGGAUUCCGUGACGCAGCUAACGCAU